rnacentral:rRNA from 1 species
GAUGAACGCUGGCGGCGUGCCUAAUACAUGCAAGUCGAGCGAACAGACGAGGAGCUUGCUCCUCUGACGUUAGCGGCGGACGGGUGAGUAACACGUGGAUAACCUACCUAUAAGACUGGGAUAACUUCGGGAAACCGGAGCUAAUACCGGAUAAUAUAUUGAACCGCAUGGUUCAAUAGUGAAAGACGGUUUUGCUGUCACUUAUAGAUGGAUCCGCGCCUCAUUAGCUAGUUGGUAAGGUAACGGCUUACCAAGGCAACGAUACGUAGCCGACCUGAGAGGGUGAUCGGCCACACUGGAACUGAGACACGGUCCAGACUCCUACGGGAGGCAGCAGUAGGGAAUCUUCCGCAAUGGGCGAAAGCCUGACGGAGCAACGCCGCGUGAGUGAUGAAGGUCUUCGGAUCGUAAAACUCUGUUAUUAGGGAAGAACAAAUGUGUAAGUAACUAUGCACGUCUUGACGGUACCUAAUCAGAAAGCCACGGCUAACUACGUG